AUUGGAUAGUAUUCAUUUGAGAGAACUUGAACCCGUAAAGAACUCCGAAAGUCCGAAUCGGAUAAGCCUCUCGAAACCCUAAUUAAAUUAGGUAUUUAGCUUGACCCUGCCAGUCCUCCGCCCCAUGGAUCUCUCGUCUCUCUCUUCCUCUCUCUGUAUGUGACUGUGUGCUCGUCGUCUAUUAAACUUUCUGUGAAAUAUCAGUUCGUCUUCGAAGCAUCUAAUCGUGAUUCUCUUUGUUCGUCAAUAAUGACUCAGAGAACAUGAAACGAUGCAAAAUUGAACAAACUCACUGGCACUUCUGGACGAGCAGUUCCAUUUUCCACCAUAGAUUCUCGCUUUUUCUCUACAUAUUGGGCAAAGAAGGUGUUAAACUGCUCGUAUAUUGAAUUUGUUUGGGCUUUUCAGAGUUGCUGAGGGAGAUUGAUUUCCUUGAAGCUUGGCCUAGAAAGCCCAAGUACAUUUCUUUUGAAUACUCGUUUCUGGUUUGUCUUCCUUACAGCUUUUUGCUUAGAGCACUUGCAAUGUCCGCAAGUGUAAUGGGGCAUAAGAGUCUUGUGUCGUACUUUUUAAUGGUAUGAGUAAAAGUGGAUUACAAUAGUCCACUUUUGAGGUCCCAAAUUAAUUGGACCAACAUGUAGACAUGGUAAAACCCACCAUGGUGGAAUUUGGGGAGGAGAACAAAAUGUAUUGGAAGACUAUUUUGUUGAUGUGAUUGGAUGUUGAUAUGGCUAGGUCAUUGUUAUAAUAGUGUAAAUUGUUUGACUUUAUUUUUGGUGUAAUAGAGAUGAGUUCAAUAUUGAUUUUGAAAA